rnacentral:lncRNA from 1 species
GGGCCCCGAAUCACAAAAUUUGCUCCACCUCUCCCAUCAGCUACACUGUCAUCAAAAUUGACCUUUAGAAAAGUCGAGGUUGGGAGCUCCUAGGAGAAGAAGACCCUCCUCCGCGCUCUAUAAGGAAGAAGGGAGUCUUAGGUAUCUCGAGUUUCAAAAGUCAACUUGGAUGGCAAAUCCUCCAUGAUCUCCAUGGCCUGGGCCAUGGCUCUCUUAAAAAUUAGCCUUGUGAACAGUCAAGUCGCCUCAAAGACUCCUGC